rnacentral:rRNA from 1 species
UACGUAGGGUGCGAGCGUUAAUCGGAAUUACUGGGCGUAAAGUGUGCGCAGGCGGCUUCGCAAGUCGAGUGUGAAAUCCCCGAGCUUAACUUGGGAAUUGCACUCGAAACUACGGAGCUGGAGUGUGGCAGAGGAAGGUGGAAUUCCACGUGUAGCGGUGAAAUGCGUAGAGAUGUGGAGGAACACCGAUGGCGAAGGCAGCCUUCUGGGCCAACACUGACGCUCAUGCACGAAAGCGUGGGGAGCAAACAGG